CACGUUGAAACAUCGGUUCCCGUACGAUCACCGAAGUUAAUCAACGUCGUGUUUGGUCAGUAACUAGAUGUGUGACCGCUUGUGAUUAUCAGGUGUCGU